rnacentral:rRNA from 1 species
AUGAACGCUGGCGGCGUGCUUAACACAUGCAAGUCGAACGAAGAUAUUUAAAAUGAGAGCUUCGGCAGGAUUUUUAUCUAUCUUAGUGGCGGACGGGUGAGUAACGUGUGGGCAACCUGCCCUGUACUGGGGAAUAAUCAUUGGAAACGAUGACUAAUACCGCAUGUGGUCCUCGGAAGGCAUCUUCUGAGGAAGAAAGGAUUUAUUCGGUACAGGAUGGGCCCGCAUCUGAUUAGCUAGUUGGUGAGAUAACAGCCCACCAAGGCGACGAUCAGUAGCCGACCUGAGAGGGUGAUCGGCCACAUUGGGACUGAGACACGGCCCAAACUCCUACGGGAGGCAGCAGUGGGGAAUAUUGCACAAUGGGCGAAAGCCUGAUGCAGCAACGCCGCGUGAAGGAUGAAGGGUUUCGGCUCGUAAACUUCUAUCAAUAGGGAAGAAAGAAAUGACGGUACCUAAAUAAGAAGCCCCGGCUAACUACGUGCCAGCAGCCGCGGUAAUACGUAGGGGGCAAGCGUUAUCCGGAAUUACUGGGUGUAAAGGGAGCGUAGGCGGCAUGGUAAGCCAGAUGUGAAAGCCUUGGGCUUAACCCGAGGAUUGCAUUUGGAACUAUCAAGCUAGAGUACAGGAGAGGAAAGCGGAAUUCCUAGUGUAGCGGUGAAAUGCGUAGAUAUUAGGAAGAACACCAGUGGCGAAGGCGGCUUUCUGGACUGAAACUGACGCUGAGGCUCGAAAGCGUGGGGAGCAAACAGGAUUAGAUACCCUGGUAGUCCACGCCGUAAACGAUGAGUGCUAGGUGUCGGGGAGGAAUCCUCGGUGCCGCAGCUAACGCAAUAAGCACUCCACCUGGGGAGUACGACCGCAAGGUUGAAACUCAAAGGAAUUGACGGGGGCCCGCACAAGCAGUGGAGUAUGUGGUUUAAUUCGAAGCAACGCGAAGAACCUUACCAAGGCUUGACAUAUACAGGAAUAUUUAAGAGAUUAAAUAGCUCUUCGGAGUCUGUAUACAGGUGGUGCAUGGUUGUCGUCAGCUCGUGCCGUGAGGUGUUGGGUUAAGUCCCGCAACGAGCGCAACCCUUAUCUUCAGUAGCCAUCAUUCAGUUGGGCACUCUGGAGAGACUGCCGUGGAUAACACGGAGGAAGGUGGGGAUGACGUCAAAUCAUCAUGCCCCUUAUGUCUUGGGCUACACACGUGCUACAAUGGCUGGUAACAAAGUGACGCAAGACGGCGACGUUAAGCAAAUCACAAAAACCCAGUCCCAGUUCGGAUUGUAGUCUGCAACUCGACUACAUGAAGCUGGAAUCGCUAGUAAUCGCGAAUCAGCAUGUCGCGGUGAAUACGUUCCCGGGCCUUGUACACACCGCCCGUCACACCAUGGGAGUUGGAAGCACCCGAAGUCGGUGACCUAACCGUAAGGAAGGAGCCGCCGAAGGUGAAGCCAGUGACUGGGGUG